rnacentral:rRNA from 1 species
GGGCCCGCACAAGCGGUGGAGUAUGUGGUUUAAUUCGAUAUUAAGCGAGGAACCUUACCAGGGCUUGACAUUCUGACGAAAGUUUCGGGAAACCGAAACCCUUUGCUUCGGUGAACGUCAGGACAGGCGCUGCAUGGUUGUCGUCAGCUCGUGUCUUGAGAUGUUCCAUUAAGUUGGGAAACGAGCGCAACCCUCGUCCUGUGUUACAAGUGUCACAGGAGACCGCCCCGAUUCACGGGGAGGAAGGUGAGGAUGACGCCAAAUCAGCAUGGCCCUUUGAUGCCCUGGGCUACACUCAUGCUACAAUGGCCAGUACAACGGGUCGCGAAGUCGCAAGACGGAGCUAAUCUCUUAAAACUGGUCCCAGUUCGGAUUGAGGGCUGAAAUUCGCCCUCAUGAAGUUGGAAUCGCUAGUAA